UACGUAGGGACCGAGCGUUGUCCGGAAUCAUUGGGCGUAAAGAGCGUGUAGGCGGCCUUUUAAGUCCUGCGUGAAAUCCUGCGGCUCAACCGCAGACGGUCGUGGGAAACUGGAAGGCUAGAGUGCGGGAGAGGAGAGUGGAAUUCCCGGUGUAGCGGUGAAAUGCGCAGAUAUCGGGAAGAACACCCGUGGCGAAAGCGGCGCACUGGACCACAACUGACGCUGAUGCGCGAAAGCUAGGGGAGCAAACAGG
rnacentral:rRNA from 1 species